GUCGGAUAGCUCAGCUG
rnacentral:tRNA from 1 species